rnacentral:rRNA from 1 species
UACGUAGGGGGCAAGCGUUGUCCGGAAUCAUUGGGCGUAAAGCGCGUGUAGGCGGCUUGAUAAGUCUGCUCUGAAAGCCCGGGGCUCAACCCUGGGAGGCGGGUGGAUACUGUCGAGCUCGAGUCCGGAAGAGGCGAGUGGAAUUCCUGGUGUAGCGGUGAAAUGCGCAGAUAUCAGGAAGAACACCCGUGGCGAAGGCGGCUCUCUGGGACGGUACUGACGCUGAGACGCGAAAGCGUGGGGAGCGAACAGG